CCCUGGGAUCGGUACCUUCCGUAACAGUUUCCUAGAGUGCCAAGUUUCCAGCUUACAGCCCACUCUGACAGCCCUGAUUGCAAAGUCUGCUGCAGGCUGCCAUUUCACAAGCUGCAUCAUAAUAUUAUUCUCAGUAAUUGCUGCAAUUGGGCAGGAUGCUCUGCAGUGCAAGCAUUAGCAGAGAUCUGCCAGGAGUGACCCAGUGUCCUUGGCUGCAGCAAAGCCAGGCCACCAGGAAGGAGCAUGCCUACGCUGGGUGACAGCAGAGGAAUUGAUGGCUGCUGAUGCACAGACAGCUCUCCUUGCAAAGGAGAUCCAGGGUUCUCUUCGGAUUGUCUAUGCCAUCUGGGCAGAGCACAUUAGCUUCAUUGAUGACUUUUACCUCCCAGUGUAUAAAUACUGCU
ensembl:lncRNA